AACGUAGGUGGCGAGCGUUAUCCGGAUUUACUGGGCGUAAAGGGCGCGUAGGCGGCCUUCUAAGUCAGACGUGAAAUCCCCCGGCUUAACCUGGGAACUGCGUCUGAUACUGGAUGGCUUGAAUUCGGGAGAGGGAUGCAGAAUUCCAGGUGUAGCGGUGAAAUGCGUAGAUAUCAGGAGGAACACCGGUGGCGAAGGCGGGUCUCUGGGCCGUAACUGACGCUGAGGAGCGAAAGCAUGGGGAGCGAACAGG
rnacentral:rRNA from 1 species